rnacentral:rRNA from 1 species
GACGAACGCUGGCGGCGUGCUUAACACAUGCAAGUCGAACGGAAAGGCCCUGCGUUUGUUGGUUUCUCGAGUGGCGAACGGGUGAGUAACACGUGUGUAACCUGUCCUUGACUUUGUGAUAACUUCAGGAGACAGGGGCUAUAACCGCAUAUGAUCUCCUGCUGCACGUUGGUGGUUGGAAAGUUUCGGCUUUUGUGUCUGUUCUCGCUGCUUAUCCGCUUGUUGGGCGGGUAGUGGCUUUCCACGCCUUUGACGGGUAGCCUGCCUGGGAGGGUGAACGGCCACAUUGGGACUGCGAUACGGACCAGAAUCGUACGGGAGGCAGCAGUGGGGAAUAUUGCACAAUGGGCGGAAGCGUGAUGCAGCAACGCCGGGUGCGGGAUGCCGGCCUUCGGGUUGUAAACCGAUUUGGAAUGUGACGAAGAGUGAGUGACGGUAAUGGGUAAAAAAGCAACGGCUAACUACGUG